rnacentral:lncRNA from 1 species
CAUCAACAAAACCAGUGGAAAGUUUACAGAUCGAGGGUUUAAAGUACACCAUCGUGUCCCUGAGGUUCAUAUGAGUUGAAUGGUACCAUUUUUAGGUAAGAAUUCCUUCGAAAACCCUAGUUUCUCUCGAACUUCGAUUAAGGUACUAUUCAUGCAAUCGUAAAAUCUCAUGUUUUUGGGGAUUUCAAGCUUAUAGGUAGCUUAAGGAGGUCCUCACGAGGUUAGGAGUGGUUCGUUGGAAGAUUUUGGAUGUCGGAAUAGUGAGAUUCGAUGAGUUGCAGGUUUGGCUGGAGUGUCGAGGAGUUUUCCGGCGAAGCCUGUGGGUUUUAGAGAUUUUAAAAGGUAUGGUUGUGUUCUAUUCGUCCUAAGCUUCAAAUUGGUUCAAGUUUCAUGAGUUUUGGAUGAAAAACGAGAAAGAUAUAAAUGUUUAAAGAAUUUCCCAGUUUCCGGCGCUGGCGACGGUCGCCAGAGUUUUGAGGUAGGGGAUGAUGGAAUAUUCCGUCAACUUUGACGGAAUAUUCCUAACGGCGUUGGUUAGUUUAACGGAUUCCAUUACUAUUUAAAAAAACAUUCCACGGAAUAUUCCUAACGGCAGUUAGGGUUUCCGUUAGGGUUCCCUGCGCGUGGUCGCUCGUGUUGCCGUGCCUUGACCGACGCGUGGCGGCGCGUGGAUGGUCAGAAAAUUAUUCUAAAAAUAUGGGGAUGUUCGUGGAGUUAUGUAGAUCAUGUUGGUAUAUUCAAACACCCCAUUUGAGCAUUGUAUGAGAAGUUAUUAGCUAGUUUUGUCUAUGUGCUUUAAAUUAACGUUUAUUCAGUUACUUCGCAUAUAGUGAGACUUAUCCCGAAGACGAGCGCAGUCAAGGGCGACUCGAGGGCUACGACCCUUCGACAUACCAGUGAGUGGGCUUUUGGUUUUCAGUAUAUAUUUAUAUACUUGAUAUUUUCCCAGAAAAUGCAUUUAAAUGAGUUAUGAUUUAAAUUGCCAUGCCAAAUGAUUUACAUUUACAAUAUGCAUAUGAUGUUUGCAUAUAUAUAUAUGUUGAUGCACAAAAUCAGCGAAGACUUUGGUACAACAGAAAGUGUCAGGUUUUGUGACCUUCGCUUGGUUGC